GACGAACGCUGGCGGCGUGCUUAACACAUGCAAGUCGAACGGUAAGGCCCUUCGGGGUACACGAGUGGCGAACGGGUGAGUAACACGUGGGUGAUCUGCCCUGCACUUUGGGAUAAGCCUGGGAAACUGGGUCUAAUACCGAAUAGGACCAUGGACUUCACGGUUUGUGGUGGAAAGCUUUUGCGGUGUGGGAUGGGCCCGCGGCCUAUCAGCUUGUUGGUGGGGUAAUGGCCUACCAAGGCGACGACGGGUAGCCGGCCUGAGAGGGUGACCGGCCACACUGGGACCGAGAUACGGCCCAGACUCCUACGGGAGGCAGCAGUGGGGAAUAUUGCACAAUGGGC
rnacentral:rRNA from 1 species